AUCGAACGCUGGCGGCAGGCCUAACACAUGCAAGUCGAACGGAUGAAGCGAGCUUGCUCCUGGAUUCAGCGGCGGAAGGGGGAGAAAUGCCUAUGAGUCUGCCUGGUAGUAGGGGAUAACGUCCUGAAACGGGCGCUGAUACUGCAGACGUCGUGCGGGAGCAAGUGGGGGGUCUUCGGACCGCAUGCUAUGAGAUGAGCCGAGGUCGGACUAGAUAGCUGGUGGGGUAAAGGACUACCAAGGCGACGAUCCGUAACUGGUAUGAGAGGAUGGUCAGUCACAUGGGAAGGGAGACACGGUCCAGACGACUGCGGUACGCAGCAGUCGGGAAUCUUAGGCAAUGGGGGAGAGGCUGAUCCAGCGAUGCGGCGUGUGUGAAGAAGGUGUCAGGAUGGGAAAGCAAUGUAAGUUGGGAGGAAGUGCAGUAAGUUAAUACGUUGCGGUAUUGACGGUACCAGCAGAAGAAGCACCGGCUAACUUCGUG
rnacentral:rRNA from 1 species